rnacentral:rRNA from 1 species
GACGAACGCUGGCGGCGUGCCUAACACAUGCAAGUCGAACGCGAAAGCCCUUUCGGGGGUAAGUAGAGUGGCGUCCGGGUGAGUAACACGUGGGUAAUCUGCCUUCGGGUGGGGAAUAACCCAGGGAAACUUGGGCUAAUACCGCAUAAUGCAGCGGCACCUAAUGGUGAUUAGUUGUUAAAGCGGGGGAUCGCAAGACCUCGCGCCUGAAGAGGAGCCUGCGGCAGAUUAGCUAGUUGGGAGGUAAUGGCUCACCAGGGCUUCGAUCUGUAGCUGGUCUGAGAGGACGGCCAGCCACACUGGCACUGACACACGGGCCAGACUCCUACGGGAGGCAGCAGUGGGGAAUUUUGGGCAAUGGGCGAAAGCCUGACCCAGCAACGCCGCGUGAGGGAGGAAAUCCUUCGGGAUGUAAACCUCACAAGCAAGGGAAGAGAGCUGCGGGCUGAAUAAUCCUGCAGUGCGACGUA